GAGUUUGAUCCUGGCUCAKAACGAACGCUGGCGGYGUGUCUAACACAUGCAAGUCGAACGUGAUCCAKAGCUUGCUCUGGUGAAAGUGGCGCACGGGUGAGUAACGCGUGGAUAACCUACCCUGGUAUCCGGGAUAACAUUCCGAAAGGGGUGCUAAUACCGGAUAAGCCCACGGGCUCUUUGGAGCUUGCGGGAAAAGGUGGCCUCUAUUUAUAAGCUACUGUAUCAGGAUGGGUCCGCGUACCAUUAGCUAGUUGGCGGUGUAACGGACCACCAAGGCGACGAUGGUUAGCUGGUCUGAGAGGAUGAUCAGCCACACUGGAACUGAGACACGGUCCAGACUCCUACGGGAGGCAGCAGUGGGGAAUUUUGGACAAUGGGCGCAAGCCUGAUCCAGCCAUACCGCGUGAGUGAAGAAGUCUUCGGGUUGUAAAGCUCUUUCAGCCGGAAGAAUCGUGCAGAUUAUACUCUGUAUGGAUGACGUACCGGAGAGAGCACCGGCUAACUACGUGCAGCAGCCGCGGUAAUACAAGACGAUUCAGCACACUGACAGUMRUUACUAGUGAUCGAGCUCGUACAAGCUCGCGUAUCAUGUCAUASUGKGUCCCUGAU
rnacentral:rRNA from 1 species